ensembl:rRNA 5S_rRNA 5S ribosomal RNA
GUUUACGGCCAUACCAGCCUGGGUACGCCUGAUCUUGGAAGUUAAGCAGGGUCGGGCCUGGUUAGUACUUGGAUGGGAAACAGCCUGGGAAUACCAGGUGCUGUAAGAU